UGGUAGAUUGAGGCUUUAGCGUACCCGAUUGACGCCUCACGUUUGGAUACCGGUUUGAAUAGGCCUCUAGCCCCAAGCGGCCGAACCGACUCCGGUUAGGCUUGGUUUCUUGACGGAGGAUGGAUUCAGCCCACACCUGCGCCCCUGAGAUAUCGGUGCCAGACUCUUACGGUAGGGCAGCAGUGAGUCCAUAUUGGGCCAUGCCCGCAAGGGUGACCCAGCUACGCCGCGUGGAGCAUGAAGGUCGUAAGAUUGUUCACUCCUGUUAGAGGGGACGCAUAAUCCCGAUAGAAUCGGUGACUUGACUGUACCUCUCAGAGUAAGCCCCUGGCUAACUACGUGCCAGCAGCCGCGGUAAUACGUAGGGUGGCUAGCGUUGUCCGGAUUCACUGGGUGUAAAGGGCGCGCAGGUGGGUUAGCAAGUCAGAGGUGAAAUCCUACAGCUUAACUGUAGAACUGCCUUUGAAACUACUAAUCUUGAGUGCGGAAGAGAGAGACGGAAUUCCAGGUGUAGCGGUGAAAUGCGUAGAUAUCUGGAAGAACACCAGUUGCGAAGGCGGUCUCUUGGUCCGUUACUGACGCUCAGGCGCGAAAGCGUGGGGAGUAAACAGGAUUAGAUACCCUGGUAGUCCACGCCCUAAACGAUGAAUACUAGGUGUUGGUCUUAAUUGAUCAGUGCCGCAGCUAACGCAUUAAGUAUUCCACCUGGGGGCCCGCACAUAGCAGUGGAGCAUGUGUGCGUCCAUUAGUAUGUCACGUCGUAAGAACCUUACCAAGGUCUGUGAAUGGCAGAUCACUAGGGUAUGAAAGUACCCCUCCCUCCGGGGCAUCUGUACAGGAUGACUGCAUGGCUGUCGUCUAGCUCGUGCCGUGAGGUGUUGGUGUUAAGUCCCGCAACGAGCGCUAACCCCUACCAUUAGUUGCCACCAUGGUGAUGCUGAGCACUCUAAUGGGACUGCCUACGCAAGUAGUGAGGAAGGUGGGGAUGACGUCAAGUCCGCAUGGCCCUUACGCCUAGGGCUACACACGUGCUACAAUGGAUGUUACAAUGGGUUGCAAGACAGCGAGGUUAAGCCAAUCCCUUAAAAGCAUCCCCAGUUCGGAUUGGAGUCUGAAACCCGACUCCAUGAAGUUGGAAUUGCUAGUAAUCGCGGAUCAGCACGCCGCGGUGAAUACGUUCCCGGGCCUUGUACACACCGCCCGUCAAGCCAUGGAAGCCGGGGGUACCCGAAGCCAGUAUCCUAACCGCAAGGAGGGAGCUGUCUAAGGCAAA
rnacentral:rRNA from 1 species